rnacentral:rRNA from 1 species
AGAGUUUGAUCCUGGCUCAGGAUGAACGCUGGCGGCGUGCCUAAUACAUGCAAGUCGAGCGAACCACUUCGGUGGUGAGCGGCGAACGGGUGAGUAACACGUAGGUGAUCUGCCCAUCAGACGGGGACAACGAUUGGAAACGAUCGCUAAUACCGGAUAGGACGAAAGUUUAAAGGUGCUUCUGGCACCGCUGAUGGAUGAGCCUGCGGCGCAUUAGCUAGUUGGUAGGGUAAAGGCCUACCAAGGCGACGAUGCGUAGCCGACCUGAGAGGGUGAACGGCCACACUGGGACUGAGACACGGCCCAGACUCCUACGGGAGGCAGCAGUAGGGAAUCUUCGGCAAUGGGCGAAAGCCUGACCGAGCAACGCCGCGUGAAUGAUGAAGGCCUUCGGGUUGUAAAAUUCUGUUAUAAGGGAAGAACGACUUUAGUAGGAAAUGGCUAGAGUGUGACGGUACCUUAUGAGAAAGCCACGGCUAACUACGUGCCAGCAGCCGCGGUAAUACGUAGGUGGCGAGCGUUAUCCGGAAUUAUUGGGCGUAAAGAGCGCGCAGGUGGUUGAUAAAGUCUGAUGUGAAAGCCCACGGCUUAACCGUGGAGGGUCAUUGGAAACUGGUCGACUUGAGUGCAGAAGAGGGAAGUGGAAUUCCAUGUGUAGCGGUGAAAUGCGUAGAGAUAUGGAGGAACACCAGUGGCGAAGGCGGCUUCCUGGUCUGUAACUGACACUGAGGCGCGAAAGCGUGGGGAGCAAACAGGAUUAGAUACCCUGGUAGUCCACGCCGUAAACGAUGAGUGCUAAGUG